UGCAAGUCGAACGCUUUUUCUUUCACCGGAGCUUGCUCCACCGAAAGAAAAAGAGUGGCGAACGGGUGAGUAACACGUGGGUAACCUGCCCAUCAGAAGGGGAUAACACUUGGAAACAGGUGCUAAUACCGUAUAACAAGUAAAACCGCAUGGUUUUACUUUGAAAGGCGCUUUUGCGUCACUGAUGGAUGGACCCGCGGUGCAUUAGCUAGUUGGUGAGGUAACGGCUCACCAAGGCAACGAUGCAUAGCCGACCUGAGAGGGUGAUCGGCCACAUUGGGACUGAGACACGGCCCAAACUCCUACGGGAGGCAGCAGUAGGGAAUCUUCGGCAAUGGACGAAAGUCUGACCGAGCAACGCCGCGUGAGUGAAGAAGGUUUUCGGAUCGUAAAACUCUGUUGUUAGAGAAGAACAAGGAUGAGAGUAAAAUGUUCAUCCCUUGACGGUAUCUAACCAGAAAGCCACGGCUAACUACGUGCCAGCAGCCGCGGUAAUACGUAGGUGGCAAGCGUUGUCCGGAUUUAUUGGGCGUAAAGCGAGCGCAGGCGGUUUCUUAAGUCUGAUGUGAAAGCCCCCGGCUCAACCGGGGAGGGUCAUUGGAAACUGGGAAACUUGAGUGCAGAAGAGGAGAGUGGAAUUCCAUGUGUAGCGGUGAAAUGCGUAGAUAUAUGGAGGAACACCAGUGGCGAAGGCGGCUCUCUGGUCUGUAACUGACGCUGAGGCUCGAAAGCGUGGGGAGCAAACAGGAUUAGAUACCCUGGUAGUCCACGCCGUAAACGAUGAGUGCUAAGUGUUGGAGGGUUUCCGCCCUUCAGUGCUGCAGCUAACGCAUUAAGCACUCCGCCUGGGGAGUACGACCGCAAGGUUGAAACUCAAAGGAAUUGACGGGGGCCCGCACAAGCGGUGGAGCAUGUGGUUUAAUUCGAAGCAACGCGAAGAACCUUACCAGGUCUUGACAUCCUUUGACCACUCUAGAGAUAGAGCUUCCCCUUCGGGGGCAAAGUGACAGGUGGGUGCAUGGUUGUCGUCAGCUCGUGUCGUGAAGAAUGUUGGGUUAAGUCCCGCAACGAGCGCAACCCUUAUUGGUAGUUGCCAUCAUUUA
rnacentral:rRNA from 1 species